GCAGGGAUAGCUUAAUUGGUAGAGCAUGAGACACUUAAUCUCAGGGUUGUAGGUUUGAGCAAAAAAAUUCUGCAUUGCA